rnacentral:pre_miRNA from 1 species
GACAAAUACACACCAAGGCUAGCUCUAGAGCUCUGGAUUCAGCUCCCGCAGUAACUCCGGAGCUCUCCAUCUGCAGGGCCUGGAGGCUCUGGGGCGGG